rnacentral:rRNA from 1 species
UACGGGGGGGGCAAGCGUUGUUCGGAAUUACUGGGCGUAAAGGGCUCGUAGGCGGCCAACUAAGUCAGACGUGAAAUCCCUCGGCUUAACCGGGGAACUGCGUCUGAUACUGGAUGGCUUGAGUUUGGGAGAGGGAUGCGGAAUUCCAGGUGUAGCGGUGAAAUGCGUAGAUAUCUGGAGGAACACCCGUAGCGAAGGCGGCACUCUGGGCCGAUACUGACACUGAGGAGCGAAAGCGUGGGGAGCGAACAGG